rnacentral:rRNA from 1 species
GGGAGGUAGUGACAAUAAAUAACAAUACGGGGUUCUUUCGGAUCUCGUAAUUGGAAUGAGUACAAUUUAAAUCUCUUAACGAGGAACAAUUGGAGGGCAAGUCUGGUGCCAGCAGCCGCGGUAAUUCCAGCUCCAAUAGCGUAUAUUAAAGUUGUUGCAGUUAAAAAGCUCGUAGUUGAAUUUCGGGGUUAGUAGGUUGGUCAUGCCUCUGGUAUGUACUGGUCUCACUGAUUCCUCCUUCCUGAUGAACCGUAAUGCCAUUAAUUUGGUGUUGCGGGGAAUUUGGACUGUUACUUUGAAAAAAUUAGAGUGUUUAAAGCAAGCUAACGCUUGAAUACAUUAGCAUGGAAUAAUGAAAUAGGACGUUCGAUCCUAUUUUGUUGGUUUCUAGGAUUGACGUAAUGAUUAAUAGGGAUAGUUGGG